AAACUGGGCAAUGUGGUGGGCCCUGACACUCACGUCCAGGACAUCGGGAAGAUUCACUUUGUGCAGUUUGACUCUGAUGGAGUGUUUGGCUGGAUUCUUAAAGAUCCCAAGCUGAUAGACAGAAUGCUUAAAGAGCCUGUAGAAACUCUUGGCACUAUUCCCAGAAGGAAGCGAUCAUAUGAUGAUGAUGAUGAUGAUGAUGAUUAUGAAGAUGAUGAUGUCAUAAAGACGUCACUGCUGGAUACUCCCCCUCGCAUCCCCAACCCUAUUGCAUGCCUGUCAUCCAAAGACAUGCUCAUAUUCCAGCUCAACAUCAACCACACAGAUCGCCUCCACAGCCACUUCCCAGUGUACCAGAAGGACCAUCUCUUCAACAGCAACCCUAGCUGGGACUAUGGAGCCUUCAGGCGGCUGGAAUACCUGAUGAGACACACACACUUUAACUCCUCCAGGUUUGCCCACGUGUUCCCUGAGUCGGGCACGUUCGUGUUUGCAGACAGCGCUGUGCCCGAGAGGAGCCUGGUGGUGGUGGUGAGCGAGGACGGCUCCUCCUGCGACCCCAACGCGCCCCCCUUCCAGCCCAGCUCCCCCGCCCAGCUGGUCCGACACGGAGUCGCCCCGCGGCCCCGCCUCAACCUGCUGCCCGACUGGGGGGCCAUCGCAGGUAUCCUGGUGACCCUGCUGGUCCUGGUGGCGGUCGUGACAGGCACAGCUCUGCUGCUGAAGCCCCACAGGAGUCACCUGGUCUCCCAGGGCAACCCCAAACCUCGCUGGCGCAGUCUGGGACACCCCCCCACUCCCCUGGAGUACGUCUACAACGGGGAGAGCCUGGACGCUCCCUCUGCGCUGGGCCUGAGAGGGGUGGGAGAAGGAGCAGAGGCUGAGGAGAAAGCCAUCUGGAGAGGAGGCUGUAAGAGUGUGAGUAUGGAUCUGGAGGAGUUUAAUGUGAAGACGCUGUACGAUAAGCUGGAGGACCAGAACCUGCACGUGGCGUCCCAGCUGGCCAAGUACCGCAAAGACACACAGGAGUUUUACCGCAACAUCUGCCAGCAGACAGACAGCCUGAAGGACACUCUUGAGAACAUGGGGCCUGAGAAGCUCAAUCAGCUGAAAGAGAUCAUGCAGCUGAACAGCAAGCAAAGCCACGCACUCUACGGUGGACUGAGCCAGUACGAGGGGGGAGUUAGCAAAGACUCUCUGCAAGUGAUGGAAGCCCUGCUACAGGCAGUGGAGGCCCUGCUCUACAGGCUGUGUGGAGAGAGCUGGCAGCAGAUGGAGACGGCCCCUUGCCUCAGAGACACACGCCAGGGCGAACUCCAGACGGGAUACACACCAUUUUCCUCCACUGCCAUGACGGAGCUGAAAACAGGCCGAGAGACGGAGCAGGCUGGCUCAGAGUCAGUGCCCACCCAGUGCAGUGGUGUGUGUGUGAGUGAUCAGGAGCUGUCCCGGCUGGUGGCUCUCACUCCUCUCUCACGGACCAUCCAGGAGAUCCAGGAGUCUCUGCGGAGCCUGCCCCGCCCACAGGAAGCAGUGACCGAGGAGGAGCCGCCCUCCUGCCCCGCCACGCCCCUCACGCCCCUGACGCCCCUCGCCCUGGACUCCCUCUCCCCCUGGCACUUCUCCGUCUUCCUGUUCGGCUGCCACCUCGUCCGCCUGCUCCGGGGCAUCCAGGGCUUCCCCCAGGUCCUGCUGCUCCUGGCUAAGAGCGUGCCCGCGGCAGCCGCCUCUCACACCGACGACAGCAUGGUGGCCUACUGCUGCGGGGACUUUUAUUAUGACACACGCAACCAGAUCCUCUACCUGCUGGAGUCCAGGCUGCAGGACGUGGGCCAGUGGGUCUCCGUGCUCCUGCACUCCAUGGCCUACGUCAGCGCCGGCCAGGAGGGAGCUCGGCCCAGAGAGUUCAUGGAGGCCUUCCACAAGGCCCUGUCAGUGCUGGGGCUAGAGCUGUUCACACACUCUUUCACUCAGGACCAGAGGAGUACAGAGGACGAGGGCACCAGGAGUUUUCGAGGGACAGUCGUCGAGGACUUCUUGAGUGUGAGAGUGUCCUCUGACACACAUCUCACACCACACCUGCUGCAGGAGAGGCUUCAGAAAUACAAGUACUUCAAGCUGGAGCAGGUUCUCCAUGACCUCAGUCCAGCGAGGCAGCCUGAAGGUAUUGUGUGUGGAGCAGGAGAUAAAGAGGCUUAAUGACGUGUACCUGCAGCUGGGCUCACAGCUUCUGAGCCAAUCACCUGGGGCACACACACACUGUCACACACAGUCUCUCUCCCAGGCACCUCCAGAGACGGCUGUGGCCCAGGAGAGGACCCUGCUUCUGAGUCUGCAGCAGCACACCGUAGCCAAGAGGCUGGAGGAGAUGAGAGAGAAGCUCUCCAGGAUCACACCCCAGAAAACACACACCCCGCAGAAAUCACUUCCUGCUCAACACACACCAACACACAGCACCCUCUUGACAGAGAGCCAGGCCCAGGCCCAGACACACACACACCAGCCAGAGGAGCUGAAAUCAGAGAGCAGCGUCUCCCAGCAGGACACAGCAAAGCCCAGCGUCUAACACACACACACACACAGCAAAGCCCAGCGUCUAACACACACAGCAAAGCCCAACAUCUAACACACACAGCGUCUAACACACACAGCGUCUAACACACAC
ensembl:lncRNA